UACGAAGGGGGCUAGCGUUGCUCGGAAUCACUGGGCGUAAAGGGUGCGUAGGCGGGUCUUUAAGUCAGGGGUGAAAUCCUGGAGCUCAACUCCAGAACUGCCUUUGAUACUGAGGAUCUUGAGUCCGGGAGAGGUGAGUGGAACUGCGAGUGUAGAGGUGAAAUUCGUAGAUAUUCGCAAGAACACCAGUGGCGAAGGCGGCUCACUGGCCCGGUACUGACGCUGAGGCGCGAAAGCCAGGGGAGCAAACGGG
rnacentral:rRNA from 1 species